rnacentral:tRNA from 5 species
CCACCCAUAGCUCAGUGGUUAGAGCGCCUGGCUGUAGCCCGGGAGAUCCCCAGUUCGACUCUGGGUGGGUGGA